UACGAAGGGGGCUAGCGUUGCUCGGAAUGACUGGGCGUAAAGGGCGCGUAGGCGGCUUGUACAGUCAGGCGUGAAAUUCCCGGGCUCAACCUGGGGGCUGCGCUUGAGACGUGCGAUCUUGAGUGGGGAAGAGGGUCGUGGAAUUCCCAGUGUAGAGGUGAAAUUCGUAGAUAUCGAGAAGAACACCGGUGGCGAAGGCGGCCAACUGGACGGUGACUGACACUGAGACGCGAAAGCGUGGGGAGCAAACAGG
rnacentral:rRNA from 1 species